rnacentral:rRNA from 1 species
GACGAACGCUGGCGGCGUGCUUAACACAUGCAAGUCGAACGAAGUGGCGAACGGGUGAGUAACGCGUAAUCCACCUGCCCUUCAGAGGGGGACAACAGUUGGAAACGACUGCUCAUACCGCAUACUGAAGGAGGGGAUUGCGUCUGAUUAGCUAGUUGGGGGGGUAACGGCACACCAAGGCGAUGAUACGUAGCCGGUUCGAGAGAAUGAACGGCAACAUUGGGACUGAGACACGGCCCAGACUCCUACGGGAGGCAGCAGUGGGGAAUCUUCCGAAAGGGACGAAAGUCUGACGGAGCAACGCCGCGUGAGUGAUGACGGCCUUCGGGUUGUAAAGCUCUGUUAAUCGGGACGCGGUACCGGAAUAGAAAGCCACGGCUAACUACGUGCCAGCAGCCGCGGUAAUUC